UUCGUGCAAAAAGUGUGCCGCUGGCGCGCGUGUGUGUGCUUUGGGUGAAAGUGGCAAGGAGCUACACCACUCCAACGAAUCCUGCAAAACACUGAACGAAGAGGAGCAUCAACCGCGAGCUACAUCGAAGUGGUUUGAAGGACCGCGAAAGGAAGCGAUCUUGAGUGCGGCGAACGUUCUCGCGCAAUAAACCUGGGCUGAGUCGGCACGCUGCUCCCGCGCGAUGACGAAGAAGUUCGAGUUCAACUGGCAGAUUCCGGUCCCGGAGCCGCUGCUGACGGGCUGCGUGUUCGACCGGUGGACGGAGGAGAAAGACAACAAUGAGCUGGAGCCAAACUGCAUGUUCAAGGUGGACGAGUACGGGUUUUUCAUCUACUGGAAAAGCGAAGGACGGGAAGGUGACGUUAUUGAAUUAUGUCAAGUCAGCGAUAUCAGAGCGGGCGGAAUGCCGAAGGACAUGAAGCUGUACAAUCAGCUGUGCAACAAGCACGGCGAGAACGUGGAAGAGAAAUCGCUGACCAUCUGCUCGGGCACGGAUUACAUCAACAUCAACUACCAGCAUGUCGUCUGCCCGGAUGCGGCAACAGCGAAGCUGUGGCAGCAAGGACUUCGCGAUAUUACCCACAACAGCAAGAUAAACAACGUGUGUCCCCGCACGAAUCUGAUGAAACAUUGGAUGCGGCUCGGCUUUCUCGUUGAUCCUCGAGGAAAGGUGCCGGUAAAGGUGGUUGCCCGAACAUUCGCGUCUGGUAAAACGGAAAAAUUGGUCUAUCAAAUCCUGUCCGACUUGGGGUUGCCCAGUGGCAAGAAUGAUGCGAUCGAAAAGGCUGACUUUACGUUCGAGAAGUUCUACGAGCUGUACCACAAGAUCUGUCCCCGUAACGACAUCGAGGAGCUUUUCCGCUCGAUAACGCAGGGAAAGGCGAACUCCAUCAACUUGGACCAGUUUAUCACCUUCCUGAACGAAAAGCAGCGCGAUCCGCGGCUGAACGAGAUCCUGUACCCGCUGUACGACGAGAAGCGUGCCCUGGAAAUCAUCACCAUGUACGAGCAGAACGAUGAAGCCCGGGAAGCGAAAACCCUCACCAAAGAUGGACUGAUCCGGUAUCUCAUGUCGGACGAGAAUGCGCCGGUCUUUCUCGAUCGGCUCGACAUCUACAUGGACAUGGAUCAGCCCCUGUCGCACUACUACAUCAACUCGUCCCACAACACGUACCUGUCCGGGCGGCAGUUCGGUGGCAAGAGCUCGGUCGAGAUGUACCGCCAGACGUUGCUGGCCGGCUGCCGGUGCGUGGAGCUCGACUGUUGGGACGGCAAAGGCGAGGACGAGGAACCGAUCAUCACGCACGGGAUGGCGAUGUGCACGGACAUCCUGUUCAAGGACGUAAUCUACGCACUGCGUGACACGGCGUUCGUUACGUCCGACUACCCGGUGAUCCUGUCGUUCGAAAACCACUGCUGCAAGUCGCAGCAGUACAAGCUGGCCAAGUACUGCGACGAAAUAUUGGGCGAUCUGCUGCUGAAGGAACCGAUCCCGGACUACCCGCUCGAUCCGGGGGCACCGUUGCCGCCACCGUCCUUCCUGAAGCGCAAGAUUCUGAUCAAGAACAAGCGGCUCAAGUCGGAGGUAGAGAAGAAGGAGCUGGAGCUGUUUCUGCAGGGCGAGUUCGUGAUCGAGGACGAGGACAAGGAGGACGCCAGUGCCGUGGUCGAUGUGAAGAAAAUCGAAGAGCUUGCGGUGGGUGGCGGAGCGGGUGCGGCCGCCGUUGCACCGGUAGCGGCCGCGGCCGCUUCGCAGGAUGGGGGCGAAGAAGCGCCCCCGAUACAGUACACCGGUUCGACGACCAACGUGCACCCGUGGCUCUCGUCGAUGGUAAACUACGCGCAGCCGGUCAAGUUCCAGUCGUUCGACUACGCGGACAAGAAGAACGUGCACCACAACAUGUCGUCGUUUGCCGAGACGACCGGCAUGAAUCUGCUAAAGUCGCAGGCCAUCGAGUUUGUCAACUACAACAAGCGCCAGAUGUCGCGCAUCUACCCGAAGGGCACGCGAGCCGACUCGUCCAACUACAUGCCGCAGGUGUUCUGGAACGCCGGCUGCCAGAUGGUGUCGCUCAACUUCCAAACCUCCGACCUGCCAAUGCAGCUGAACCAGGGCAAGUUCGAGUACAACGGCAACUGCGGCUACCUGCUGAAGCCGGACUUUAUGCGGCGUGCCGAUCGUAGCUUCGACCCGUUCGCGGACGCCCCGGUAGACGGAGUGAUUGCCGCUUCGUGCGCCGUACAGGUGAUCGCCGGCCAGUUCCUGUCGGAUAAGAAGGUCGGCACGUACGUCGAGGUGGACAUGUACGGUCUGCCAUCGGACACGGUGCGCAAAGAGUUCCGGACGCGCAUGGUCCCGGCGAACGGACUGAACCCGGUGUACAACGAGGAACCGUUCCUGUUCCGCAAGGUGGUGUUGCCCGAUCUGGCCGUACUGCGGUUCGGGGUGUACGACGAAAACGGCAAACUGCUCGGGCAGCGCAUUCUGCCGCUCGAUGGACUGCAGGGUGGCUACCGGCACAUCUCGCUGCGCACGGAAGCCAACUUUCCGAUGUCACUGCCCAUGCUGUUCUGUAACAUCGAGCUGAAAAUCUACGUCCCGGACGGGUUUGAAGACUUCAUGGAUGCGCUGUCCGAUCCGCGGGCGUUCAUGGGCGCGGCGAAGGAACGGUCGGACAACAUGCAAAAGCUGGGCAUCGAAGAGACGGGGGGCGGCGGUGGCGGGGCAACCGAGGCGAAGAAAGUGGAAGUGACGGAACCACCGCUCGUGUUUGACCCAAUCACUGUCGAUUCGCUGCGCCAGGAGAAGGGCUUCCAGAAGACGGCCAAGAAACAGCAGAAGGAACUGGACGCGGUCAAGAAGAAGCACGCCAAGGAGCGGACCGGUGUUCAGAAGCAGCAGAAUGGGGCCAUCGAGCGGCUGAUCAAAGGCAAGAGCAAGGACGAGAUCAAAGCCGACCCGGCGGUACGCAAGCUGAUCCAGGAACAGAACGCCCAGUGGACGGAGAUGGCCGAGCGGCACAAGAAGGAAGAGUGGGACCUCCUGAAGCAGCAGCUCGCCGACCAGCAGGACAUUCUGCGCAAGCUGAUGGAAACGACGCAGGCCGGCCAGAUGAAGCAGCUGGAGGCGAAACACGAGCGCGAGAUCAAGGAGCUAAACAGCCGCCAGGCCAAGAUUUCGGUCGAAACGUCCAAGGAGGUGGCCAACGACAAGACGCUCAAGACGAAGGGCGAAAAGGAUCGGCGAUUGCGCGAGAAGAAGCAAAACAACAUCAAGCGAUUUAUGGACGAGAAAAAGACUGCCACCAUCAAGCAGAACCGAGAAAAGGAGAAGCUAAAGGUUACCCACGACAAGCAGCUGGAAGAGCUGGCCAACGACGUGCAAAAGUUGACGGUUAGCGACGGUAGGCUUGUUAGUAGUGAUAGUACCGCGGCGAAUAUUGGUACGGGUGACACCGAGCACUUGCUUGCAAAGUUCACCAGCACCAAACCCAACUCAACGAUACCUUCUCCCGUGGAGCCCGAACCAGCAUGGCAACUGGGGACGAAUACGACGGGCGAACCUCAUGGCGGGACGCUACCGGAAACGAUCACUGCAGCAUUCCAAACCAACCAAACUGCGACCGUAGUCUCACAGCCAUUGCUACGGCAGCCCGCGGCUACCGGCGCUGCGGUCAACCGUACGAAGCGUGAUAAUGUGAAAAAUAAGUGUCCUUGCAUUUGCUCCUGAAACCCGGAUGAUGCGCCGAACUACAGCAAUGCCAUAGGAAAACAAGGGUGCCGCCGGGCGGUAUGAUCCCAGGGUAGCUUGCGACCAUCCGGCGAGAGCAACCACGCGUGGUGGCUUGUAUUGUUAUGGUGAACCCAAAAAGUAUUAUUUAGUCAAUCUCAUCGAAAUGUACAAAGUGGACGAGGAGGAAUACAAGCUGGCCUCAAAGUAUGAGUUUUUUGCCUAAGCACCGCACCGUUUGGCAAACCCAUGUCAUCGAAAGAACCGGACUCACGCGCCUCGGCAUAAAACCGGGGAACCCUAUCGAAGCUGGCUGGGAACAACGGCAUCUCGGAAAAUGAAAAAAAAACUAAGUUUCUUUUUUGUCAUUAAAUCACCUUUACGUACCGCGGAUCGCCCGGCUGUGUGGUCUUAGAGGACAGUGAAUGCGCGCGCAGAAUGACGCAACGGAAGGUCAUCGCUUUUGGGGACGUUUAGUUGGCUCAUGGUUGGCGGAUUGAUUCAAAAACAACCUGCAUUAAGCUGUUCAAACCACAGACAAAGCAUUCUGGAAGUCGCGAAGGCGGGGCGCCCGGAAUUUGGCUGGAUCUCAAGCACGGUGCCAAAGUAUCCCAGUCCGGAGCCUUAGUUGGAACAUCCGGCUUUUGUUUCAAUGCAAUCCGGAGAACCAAUGAGCACAGUAACUUCAAAAAGGUUAAGACAAACGCAAUACGCAAAUAAUCACACACAUCAGGAGAGUAGAGAAUUAUCAAAGUAAGAUAGGCGACAAAAAUAGGAGAACAGGAGCAUUGGCGCUGGGUUGCCGAGCGGUCGUCAGAACUAGGGACGAGAUGAAGGAAGAGCACUGACCAGAGAAUGUGCGGGAACAAUGUAAAACCGCUUGCGACCAAUCUCGUGGUAAGAUAGUAAUUAGCAGAUUAGGUAAUGCACAUACAGAUUCUUCGGCAUCAUUUCGUAAGGUUAUAUGUUGUUGCGAUCUUUGAAGAUUUUGGGUUGGUGGCUGUUGGCGCUAUUUAUUGGUCUAUUGAAUAGUUUACUAAGGUUUGUUUGAACUUUGGCUUUCUUCCUCGACAUUCUGUUACGUUAGCUAAUCCUGUCAAUUGAAACCGAGCAUUGGUGGCACUUUUGUUGGUCGACGCAAAACAAAGAUCGCGAAUUAGUAAAGUUGUAUAGGUGUAAGGAUCAUAAUUUCUUUCCCGAAACGGGACAGACGCUUCUUUCACGUUUGUACCAUAUAUGGGGCAGCUCUCCUCACUUGCACGCCGCUCUGAAGCACCAACAUCAACCCAACAUGAACAUCGUGGGACGCGAAUGAAGGUCCAAAAAAGCGAAGGGGAAACUGCACUAGUAUUUAGCAACAACAGUCGGGAAAGAUUUUGAAGCAAAACUCACGCAAAACGCGCACUGCAUUCAUACAAACAUCUUAAAUGUUACUCUAUCGCAUCGAACCAAAUCAAAAACCGUAUUCACCACUUGCCGUGAUAGGCAUAGUUUAUUGAAACACUGUGCCCGAGCACUUUAGUUUCCGAACGUGGCUCCUUAACUCGUCGAACACACCGGAAUCUACUGACUUUGUUUCCCUUUUUAGAUGAUCUUUUCUGUGGGCGUGGUUGUGGCCGGUCAGUACCGCGUUAAGGUAAAGAGGCGUUAGAGUUUAGAGAAAUAAUCUCCAAAAACAGUAGUUCAACUGUCUGUCCGCCCUUGCACCCGGCAUGCACAGGCAAAUGAUCGUACGACGGUGAUGUACCGCUGGGUCCUAAUCGAAUAAGCCACUACUCACAAAAAACAAUCAAAAGGUAGCAAAAACACUAAGAACACUGUCAAACCAC